rnacentral:sRNA from 1 species
GCACGGAUUGAUUGUGGAACUGAGUUCC